UUGCCACACAUGGGUAAGGGGGAUUUAGGUGUAUACACCAUUAUCCAUCAACAUCUCAGUUCUUAGCAUUCUAUGUCUGCACAGUGGAAGCCUCUGUAUGGAAAUCAACUAACCAAAAGCUUAAAUUAAUGUGACUUUGGAACAGAACCUCCAGUAAAUCAUCAGAGAAAUAUUAUCUUCAACUGAGCGGCCAAAAGGAGCUACAUAACAAGCUUUAACAAGCUCUGUGAAGUUUACCUUGAAAUACACUACAUCUAAAUUACCAUCAGCUUAGGAACCUGGAAUAACUUCUGAAGAGAUUUGGGUAGCAAACCUGGAAGUAUUUUCAGCUUUAAGAGUCUAAGCUGGCACCUGGGCAGGCAGACACAGGAGGAGAAAACAACAAGCAGAAGUUGUGACAGAAUUGCAUACCAGGAAAAGCUGUUUGGACAGGUCACAUUUUGCUUACAGGUGGAAUCUAGCAGGUUGCACGUCUGAAUCAGCAGGAUAUUUUGUCACAAGCAUCAUCCUGAAAUGACGAUCAUUUUCCUUUGGACUUCUACUGCAGAUUCAGCUGAUAAAGAGCUUCAGAAGACUCUGUACAGGCUGCCUUGACACAAGGCCCAGCAUGGAGUAUUAUGUCUACUUUGACCUCAUCUUCUAACUUUUGGGCUUCUGAUGCAUAUCUGUAGCUGUCUGUGAACUCUCCUACUAAUCAGUCAGAAACUGAAGGAAUGUUAGUUUUUUUCUUUUUUUUCAACAAUGUAUCCUUUUUAAAAGUCCCCGGCAGCUGCCUAGGGUUUGAAAGCAACCUCAAAUAAAUGUAUGCAAAUUGUGAGGCAGAAAUGUGGUUGCUCUUCCACCGUUGAGCUCUUUGACCUUUGAUUAUGUUAUUUAAAACAGAUGUGGGGAAGGAUCUGUGUUUUAAAUUCAAAUAUCUUAUUAUUUUCUAGAACAAAUACUUAGGUUACAAUGCGCUAUCUUGCAGGAAAUGAACUUUUCCAUAGUUUUUCCAACCUGCCAGGAAAUUCAGCAGCCUGCUGCUCUAAUUCCUCUGAGAUGUCCCUGAUUUGAAAAUUUUUGCCUCAGUUUUGCCAACAGAACACAUGCCAAAUCACAAUCAAAGAAUUAAGAGAUUUUUCUGCUGUGCUCCAGGUGCAAUUGAGUAAAAGAAUGGGGAUGCUGCUUCAAGUCAUGAUUCUGAACUUCUAGAAAAAGCUUUUCCAAAAACUGAGAAUCACUGCAAUACUUCAUAACUCCAUUGGAGAGAUAUGUAUUGUGGAUGUGUAAAAAAGGAAAUAGUAAAUAUGUACUUGUUUGGCCAAUAUAUCAGAUAGACACAGGAAAUA